rnacentral:rRNA from 1 species
CCGGCUCAGGAUGAACGCUAGCUACAGGCUUAACACAUGCAAGUCGAGGGGCAGCAUGGUCUUAGCUUGCUAAGGCCGAUGGCGACCGGCGCACGGGUGAGUAACACGUAUCCAACCUGCCGUCUACUCUUGGACAGCCUUCUGAAAGGAAGAUUAAUACAAGAUGGCAUCAUGAGUCCGCAUGUUCACAUGAUUAAAGGUAUUCCGGUAGACGAUGGGGAUGCGUUCCAUUAGAUAGUAGGCGGGGUAACGGCCCACCUAGUCUUCGAUGGAUAGGGGUUCUGAGAGGAAGGUCCCCCACAUUGGAACUGAGACACGGUCCAAACUCCUACGGGAGGCAGCAGUGAGGAAUAUUGGUCAAUGGGCGAGAGCCUGAACCAGCCAAGUAGCGUGAAGGAUGACUGCCCUAUGGGUUGUAAACUUCUUUUAUAAAGGAAUAAAGUCGGGUAUGGAUACCCGUUUGCAUGUACUUUAUGAAUAAGGAUCGGCUAACUCCGUGCCAGCAGCCGCGGUAAUACGGAGGAUCCGAGCGUUAUCCGGAUUUAUUGGGUUUAAAGGGAGCGUAGAUGGAUGUUUAAGUCAGUUGUGAAAGUUUGCGGCUCAACCGUAAAAUUGCAGUUGAUACUGGAUAUCUUGAGUGCAGUUGAGGCAGGCGGAAUUCGUGGUGUAGCGGUGAAAUGCUUAGAUAUCACGAAGAACUCCGAUUGCGAAGGCAGCCUGCUAAGCUGCAACUGACAUUGAGGCUCGAAAGUGUGGGUAUCAAACAGGAUUAGAUACCCUGGUAGUCCACACGGUAAACGAUGAAUACUCGCUGUUUGCGAUAUACAGCAAGCGGCCAAGCGAAAGCGUUAAGUAUUCCACCUGGGGAGUACGCCGGCAACGGUGAAACUCAAAGGAAUUGACGGGGGCCCGCACAAGCGGAGGAACAUGUGGUUUAAUUCGAUGAUACGCGAGGAACCUUACCCGGGCUUAAAUUGCAGAUGAAUUACGGUGAAAGCCGUAAGCCGCAAGGCAUCUGUGAAGGUGCUGCAUGGUUGUCGUCAGCUCGUGCCGUGAGGUGUCGGCUUAAGUGCCAUAACGAGCGCAACCCUUGUUGUCAGUUACUAACAGGUUCCGCUGAGGACUCUGACAAGACUGCCAUCGUAAGAUGUGAGGAAGGUGGGGAUGACGUCAAAUCAGCACGGCCCUUACGUCCGGGGCUACACACGUGUUACAAUGGGGGGUACAGAGGGCCGCUACCACGCGAGUGGAUGCCAAUCCCCAAAACCUCUCUCAGUUCGGACUGGAGUCUGCAACCCGACUCCACGAAGCUGGAUUCGCUAGUAAUCGCGCAUCAGCCACGGCGCGGUGAAUACGUUCCCGGGCCUUGUACACACCGCC